CUUAUAAACCGUGGCAGAGGGAGUAUUUAGGAUGAGAGGGAGUACACUAGUAACUCUUGGAUCUUGGCUCUUAGGCCCACAUGCAGGAGGCAUGUGGUCCAGUCCACGGUACAUCAUUCAUUCCUUGUCAUUCACCACAUGUGAGAUGGAGAGGCAAGGAAUUCUUUUGAAGCAAAUAAAAUAAAAUAAAAUAAAAUGCUACACUACUCCCUCCAUCUGACAAUAUAAGACCUUGCAAGCAAAAAAAAAAAAAGAAAGAGAACAUAUCAUAAUAUAAGAGUGUGUGAGUAAUGUUUUACUCACCCAACCAAACCAAAUAAUUCAUCCAUCCAUCCAUCCAUAGCUUGCUCUUUCCAAAAACAAAAACAAAAAAAUCCAUCCAUAGAAUAGCUUCUUCACAUAAUUAAUUAACUAUAAUACUAUUUAGCAUCUCCAAAUAACUGAGAUUAGUAGAUUGGUCUGGUCUUGGUGGUCAGUCACAACAAACAGCAGCAGCAUCUCGCUCUCCCUCUCCCUCUCCCUCUCUAUCUCAUCAUUACAAGGAGUAACAAGAAGAAGAAGCUAAAGAAGAAGAAUUUGUACUGAUCAAAUGUGCCAGUAGAAAUCGCUUCCCUNNNNNNN
rnacentral:lncRNA from 1 species